rnacentral:rRNA from 1 species
UACAGAGGUCCCGAGCGUUGUUUGGAUUCACUGGGCGUAAAGGGUGCGCAGGUGGGUUUGCAAGUUUGAUGUGAAAGCCCCGGGCUUAACCUGGGAACUGCGUUUGAAACUGCCGCGCUAGAGUGCGAGAGAGGCCAGUGGAAUUGCAGGUGUAGCGGUGAAAUGCGUAGAUAUCUGCAGGAACACCCGUGGCGAAGGCGGCUGGCUGGAUCGCAACUGACGCUGAGGAACGAAAGCUAGGGGAGCAAACAGG